UGGUGCCCGCGCCGGGCUUCCCCGAAGGAAAAACUUCGGGAGCGGGAAGCUGGCGGGGGCGGGUUGAGAGGUGCUGCUCCCUCGGGGGUGUUUUCCUGCCGGUGUGCGGGGAUGCAGCAGGCUUGAGCGGAGGAUGCCGGUUCCACGCGUUCUGUCCCUUUUCCUUCAGGGGAGCCCUCUCGGGCCCGCUGUCCCACCGAGGCCGAGCCUGUCCGGCACAGCCCCCGGCGAGUGCCCACACGCCUCGGCUGCCUUCCUUGGCCGUCUCGUUGCGACUGGGAACGGCCUGCGUGCCACCGGAGCCGGUCUUUUACACGUUGAAAAACGAGACAUGCAGAACUGAAACUGUUAUUUUUUACCGUCUUACCCGACGGGAGCCUCAGUGAGGCCUGACACCUCCUAUUUACGGCUGAAAACAGAGAAACCUCCCCUUGCCGUGAGAGCCUGCAACGCCAGGGGUGCACCUGCCUCCUCCUGCCCACUCGUCUGCCCCUUCGCAGCCCUCCCCCCCAGCCUCCACCUGCUGCUUGUCCUGCCUUGCUGCCAUGAAAACAGGUGGAAAAUGGAAAAUACAAACAAAUCCCUAUGAAGACAUCUUACCCACUGCAAUGAAUUCCUGAGUCAAGAGAGGGACCAGAAGAGAUCAGUGAGGUCAGAUCUGGAUUGAUCCCCACAACUGCACACUGGCAUUUGAACUCGGCACUGCAGCAGUUUUCAUGUCUCCUCCUCGUUUGUUGAAACAAAUUCCUGGAAGCUGAAGGUUGGUCCAGGUUGCAGCUAUAUGAAGAUGUGGCCUCAUUGCUUUAAACAAAAAUCAUAACAAAGAUUAAUUUAUCCCUUCUUUGGCAAAUCUUAAAAUGAUAAGUGGUGAA